CGCACAUUGCGCCCCUUGGUAUUCCGAGGGGCAUGCCUGUUCGAGCGUCAUUUCACCAAUCAAGCCCCGCUUGGUAUUGGGCGUCCAGGCCCGCGAGCCCUCACCGGCCACCGCGGGCCCGCCCCAAAGGCAUCGGCGAGGAAGACGACCCCCGGCGUGUUAGAAUCUUUUCACGAAGAUACGCCGCGAGCACCGUCGGACCUCCGCCGCGAGAUGACGGGUCCCCGUGAAAAGGGACCCCGACCACACACAAGGUUGACCUCGGAUCAGGUAGGAAUACCCGCUGAACUUAA
rnacentral:misc_RNA from 1 species